rnacentral:rRNA from 1 species
UCGGGAAUAUUGCGCAAUGGAGGAAACUCUGACGCAGUGACGCCGCGUAUAGGAAGAAGGUUUUCGGAUUGUAAACUAUUGUCGUUAGGGAAGAGAAAGGACAGUACCUAAGGAGGAAGCUCCGGCUAACUACGUGCCAGCAGCCGCGGUAAUACGUAGGGAGCGAGCGUUAUCCGGAAUUAUUGGGUGUAAAGGGUGCGUAGACGGGAGAACAAGUUAGUUGUGAAAUACCUCGGCUCAACUGAGGAACUGCAACUAAAACUGUACUUCUUGAGUGCAGGAGAGGUAAGUGGAAUUCCUAGUGUAGCGGUGAAAUGCGUAGAUAUUAGGAGGAACACCAGUGGCGAAGGCGACUUACUGGACUGUAACUGACGUUGAGGCACGAAAGUGUGGGGAGCAAACAGGAUUAGAUACC